rnacentral:ncRNA from 2 species
UCCCGUUCUCCGGGGAGCCGCAGGUCAGCGGCUGAGAUUGGCGUAUCCGCCUGACCCGUCGAACCUGAUCCGGGUCAUGCCGGCGAAGGGAUGGGAAACACAGGGUCCA